GCGGACGAGGACGGACAGGCGCGAACCCCUCGAGGCCGACUUGUAAUCGGGCGGUUGGGAGUUCGAGUCUCCCCGUCGGCU
rnacentral:tRNA from 1 species